rnacentral:misc_RNA from 1 species
AGUCGAACAAAAUUUAUUUGUUUUUUCGACAAAUUUAAUUGAAAUGAUUUAAUUUAAUCCAAAAAAUAUAUUAAAAAAA